GACGAACGCUGGCGGCGUGCUUAACACAUGCAAGUCGAACGGAAAGGCCCUGCUUGCAGGGUGCUCGAGUGGCGAACGGGUGAGUAACACGUGGGUGAUCUGCCCCUUAUUUUGGGAUAAGCCUGGGAAACUGGGUCUAAUACUGGAUAGGACCGUGCUGUAGGUGGUGUGGUGGAAAGAUUAGUUUCGGUAAGGGAUGAGCUCGCGGCCUAUCAGCUUGUUGGUGGGGUAAUGGCCUACCAAGGCGUCGACGGGUAGCCGGCCUGAGAGGGUGGACGGCCACAUUGGGACUGAGAUACGGCCCAGACUCCUACGGGAGGCAGCAGUGGGGAAUAUUGCACAAUGGGCGCAAGCCUGAUGCAGCGACGCCGCGUGGGGGAUGGCGGCCUUCGGGUUGUAAACUCCUUUCAGCCAUGACGAAGCCCUUGUGGUGACGGUAGUGGUAGAAGAAGCACCGGCUAACUACGUG
rnacentral:rRNA from 1 species